CCACAGCAGGGCCAGUGGUGUGGGGAGGGCAAGGGGAAGGGAGGUGGUUCUUUCUCUGAGCAGCAUCCUGCUUCCAGAAUCACCCCCUUCCCUCAUUUUCUCAGCUGCAGGCCCUAGGUCUCUCACCCAGAGAGGCAGGCCCAGAUCUUCCCUCGUAGCCCAGGCUCUUUGCUAUUGUCAGCCCCAUGGCUCCUCUCUGUCUGCUGCUAUCGUGAGCUUCUAUAUUUAACACAAGAUUUCUGUCUGCGGCAGAGGGCAUUUUCUGAGUCCCAGAAAGCUGCAAGAUGAAGUCUUUUGUACUGCAGAGGGAAGCUUUGAAGAAUCCCAGUGAUGUCUGAGUCCCUGAAACUUGUGCCACACAAGAGCACAGCUUGCAGUCACUGAGGAAUACAGCCGUGGAAGGUGGGUGCUGGGUUGCUCCUGAGCUGUGCUUGUCCCAUCAGCUUCCUCUGCUUCCUCCCUGUCCCUGGGGGCAGGUGGACACCUGCUGCCUGUGCUCUCAGAGAAGGCAGGAACCUCACUGCCAACCUCAGCCAACACAGGAAUGGGCCUCACAGCACACUACACUACACUACAGAGCCAUCUGUGAAGCUCCACCCACGUAACGUGCAUUUUUCAUGUUCUCUUUCCAUAUGUGGGUCAGAAUAACAGAGAAAGGCUUCAGGAGCUAUGCUGACCAGGCUUUAAGACUGGCUGUUGGAAGAGAGCCUUCCUCAGAAGUUGGCACCGAUUUGUCAAAUCAUGUUUUUUCCCCUGAUCUAAGCAUGCCAGCUCAGCUGGAGCAGCUUUGAACGAGGGUGGUCUGCAACAGCUCGCUGAAAGCGGUCGUUGGAGGACAAUAUUCCCACCCCUGUUUGUACUGCAGCAAUAUUUCACUGGAUUAGCACUGGAUGCAGCUCUGGCAAACUAAUGUACAUCCAUACCAAUUUGCGCAACUGUCUGCAGGCAGGUGACAUAUGGUGCAACUUUCUGCUGCUGCAAGCAGAGAAAGUCAGAUGCAGCCCACGGAAAUACUGAGUUAGGAAGGUGUGGCUUUCUGAUGGUUCACACAGGUCCUCAGGCUGAAAUCUGAAAGACAGAGCUGCCUCAGCUUCACCCAUCUCCUUCUCUCGUGGAAAAUAAAGUGGCUGCAGAGGGCAUUUUCUUGGGACUUUUUCUCAUAACAAAACCACGGCAUUUCCUGCUGCAUUCCCUGAGAUAAGAGCAUAUGGAUCUGAGAGAAAUGAAGGGGAAGUAAAAGAACUGCAGGUCUACGUUGCUACUUCUGAGGUCCCGAAUGAACGGCAGUGAAUAAAUAUUGCCGAGUCUUAAUGGAAAGUCAUGUCUUACCCAAGUCGCAUGCUUUUCACCAGAAAGAAAAGUGGAAGGCACAUGUCAGUGCCAACAGCACCAUCUUCUGUCUGCAGAGGUUAUGCAGCCUUCACUCACGCUUCCCUGAGUCCUCCAGAGAUGGGGCCGGUUGAGACUCCUGGAUCUACUGCUGGAUGUUGAGCUCUUCCUUUCGCUAGUGCUUUCGCUUCUACCCAACUUGUUCAGCUUCAUCUAAACUUAGAAGAUAUGUACACAGGUCCCACUCACGAAGAGCUCCAAGCAUGGCAUCCACCCAGCAGGAAGCUGUGUCCUCUGCAUCCCCUGCAGCCUCUCUGUCCACAGAAACCAACGUGGCUUCCCAGACAGAGCUCCCAGGGAACAUGCAGCCACUCAGGUGUAGGGUUGCAGAGAGUGCCUGAACUCUGGAACUCAAUGGACAAGCAAAUGUGGAUGAAGGUCCAUCCAGGUUGGAGGGGUCACUUAUGGUCACUUUCGUCAAGAAAAACAGAAAGGCAGUUGUUAGAGAAACACAGAAUAUAUCAAUCUGAAAGAGGAUCACCAGGAUCACUGAGUCCAACUGCCAGCUCCAAACAGAAACACCCAAAACUCAAACCCUAUGUCUGAGAGAAUUGCUCAAAUGCUCCUUGAACUCUAGCAGCCUGGGGCCAUGGCCACUUCCCUGGGGACCACUCCUGCUGCAGUUGUUAACAUACUGUUAAUACUAAGCAUAAAUUUUGCUAUUUAUGUACCAACUAGCUCAUUACAUAUUAAUGAAUGCCUUCUGGGUGUAUUCAGUGCUAGUCAGACAGGGAUAAUCUUUCUUCCCAUGACCCCUACUGUUCCUUUCUUUUUCUUGACUUCAUAUCUACCUUCCUGAUUUUUUUUCCCUUUAGCUUUCUGCAUCACGUUCACAUACUCCCUAGUCUAACCUCUCAUGAGCUGAAUUCCUCAUCCACUUGUCUGAUCUGACAAUCUGCAGUAGUGCAGUUCAAAUGUAAAUGCUGUGUUUCAGUUGAUAAGAUUUUGCACCCGUUGUGAUAAAAAUAAAGGCAAGGUGGAAUUCAGACAAUAAUGGAGAAAAACAAAGCACCUGAUAUGUUAUUGUUUUGAUUGUACACACCUUUAAAGCUUAAUUUGGCUAGGUCCUGCAUGUGCCUGGAACUUUUGGGGACUUAUUCAAGCCUGUUUAAAAGAAGUGCCAACAAUACAUCUUGACUGCAUGCUUUAGGUAACAAAUGGAAGAAUUACUAAAGACAUCAGAGUGACUGGAUAAGCAAACAAAACAUGCUAUAGCAUAGAAGAGUUCUCAGCUGGUAGCAUUCUGUUCAGUUAUUUCAUACAUCCUGUCAUUCCUCUUCUGCAAAGUGUUUUUGUGUGAGUGAAACAAGGUACAGUGUUUUACUUCACAUUUAAUUGUAUCACUUUGAAUUGUUUUCUUGAUCUUUUUCUUGAGUAGUUAUUUUAUUUGGAACGACAUACACGGCAAAGUGUUAAACCUAAAAGGAAACCUUAUUAACAAGCAGGAUUAAAAGUUGUUCCUUUUCCCACACAGGUAGACUUGUUGUGUUCUGCCAUGGUCAUGUGGACAGGUCUCAGCAACUAGAGAAUGCCUGUUUUAUAAAUGAUCGUUUGAAGCUGGCAGCCCAUGGCUUCAACAGCUAUGCUCUCUGUUGGAUAAAAAACUGGCUGGAGGACCAAGCCCAGAGAGCAGGGGUGGAUGGAGUUAAAUCCAGCAGGCAACCUGUCACGAGUGGUGUUCCACAAGGGUCCGUCUUGGGGCCUGUCCUGUUUAAGAUCGUUGCUGAUGAUCUCAACAAGGGGAUUAAGUGAACCCUC
ensembl:lncRNA